AUUGAACGCUGGCGGCGUGCUUAACACAUGCAAGUCGAUCGGUAACAGGUGUAGCAAUACAUGCUGACGAGAGGCGGACGGGUGAGUAAUGCUUGGGAAUCUGCCUAUUAGUGGGGGACAACCCGGGGAAACUCGGGCUAAUACCGCAUACGCUCUACGGAGGAAAGCCGGGGACCGCAAGGCCUGGCGCUAAUAGAUGAGCCCAAGUCGGAUUAGCUAGUUGGUAGGGUAACGGCCUACCAAGGCGACAAUCCGUAGCUAGUCUGAGAGGACGACCAGCCACACCGGAACUGAGACACGGUCCGGACUCCUACGGGAGGCAGCAGUGGGGAAUAUUGGACAAUGGGGGCAACCCUGAUCCAGCGACGCCGCGUGGGUGAAGAAGGCCUGC
rnacentral:rRNA from 1 species